rnacentral:lncRNA from 13 species
AAUCAGUAUAAAUUCUUUUGAGGCUUUCCUAUGUGGAGAGCCCUGUGCUCAGUUUUUCAAAAGAUACGAAAAUGAGUAAGAUUUAUUCCCUGCCCUCAAGGUGCCUCUAAUCUAGGAGAGCAAAUGGAGAGGACACUACUCUGGUACUUUUUCCUGCCCAGCAUUCAUUCCUCCUCCUUCUGGCGAUUCCUCCAGGAAACCACCCCACCUUCAAUUCUUUGACUAUGGGAGUCAGAUGGGGCUGACUGUCAUUCCCCUCAUUUGCAGGGCAAGACUUCUAAGGUGCCAGCUAUCUUGGUUUGUCUCAAAUGGAAGAGGUUCCUGGGAUAUGGGAUUUCUAAUUCUAAAAUCAGAAAAGCAACAAGCAAAUUGGGCAUUGGAGCUGCUGGUGGACAUCACUGUCACUGUAAAGGGAAAGUCUACCGAGAAUGAAGGUAACACAGAAGAAAGCAGAGCCAAGAGCUGAAGCCCAACACCUGAUGACACUAAGCACUUGGGUCCAAGUUUCCCUGAAGCUCCAUCCUUGGACAUAUCACUUUACAUGACUCAGUAAAUUAUCUUUUUGCUUAAACUAGUUUUAACUGGGUUUCUACUACUUGUAUCUAAAUAAGAGCUAAGAAAAGGGAACAUGUGUUUAUACUAUACUGUCAAGUGAGGUAAAUGCUAUAAAAGAGGCCCAAAAGGAGAAAAGUUAAAUUAUGCAGAGGUGAAAUUCAGCUGCAAGAAGUCAGGAAAUGAAUUCAGGAUGAGCUGGCAUUUGAUUAAUUCUUGCAGAUUAGCAAGUGUAAGUAGCUUCCUAUGACUGCUCUAACUACCACACUCUUAGUGGCUUGACUAACACAAAUUUCUUGCAGUUCUGGAGUUAAGAAUGGAUCUGCAGGGCUGCUUUCUUCUGGAGAUCUUGAAGAGAAUUCACUUCUUUGCCUUUUCCAGCCUCUAGAGGCCACCUAUAUUCCUUGACUCAUGGUCUUACACUUUUAUCUGCAAAGCAUCUUCUAAUCUCUCCCUCUCUGAUUCUGACUCCCCUGCCUCCUUUUUUCCUGAUAAGUUUUCCACAUCAUGAUUACACAUUGUGCCCACCUAGAUGAUGCAAGAUAAUAUCACCCCUUCUCAAGCCCCUUGCCUUAAUCACGCCUGCUAGGUCCCCUUUAUCAUGUAAGGUAACUUGUACAUUCUGGGGAUUAGGAUGUAGAUAUCUUUGGGCAACUAUUAAUGUCUGGUUGAGGGAAUAGCAUUGGUAAAGGCACCAAAAUAAGAGAAGUGUGUUAGUCCAUGAAAAUAAUUUAAUUUUCCUGGAAAAUAUUUCAGGGAUCAGUGGGAUUGAGGCUAGAAAGUUUGGUUGAAAUAACCUUGUCUUGUAGACAGGGAAGGAAUCAUACUUCAUUUAGUACUUAAUGAGGUGCAAAGCACUGUGCUUUUUGUAUUGUAGAAAUAGGGAUGAGUAUAACAUUAUCUGUACCCUCAAA